rnacentral:rRNA from 1 species
UACAGAGGUCUCAAGCGUUGUUCGGAUUCAUUGGGCGUAAAGGGUGUGUAGGUGGCGCCGUAAGUCGGGUGUGAAAUUUCGGAGCUUAACUCCGAAACUGCAUUCGAUACUGCGGUGCUUGAGGACUGGAGAGGAGACUGGAAUUCAUGGUGUAGCAGUGAAAUGCGUAGAGAUCAUGGAGGAAGACCAGUGGCGAAGGCGGGUCUCUGGACAGUUCCUGACACUGAGACACGAAGGCCAGGGGAGCAAACGGG